GACGAACGCUGGCGGCGUGCUUAACACAUGCAAGUCGAACGGAAAGGCCCUGCUUUUGUGGGGUGCUCGAGUGGCGAACGGGUGAGUAACACGUGAGUAACCUGCCCUUGACUUUGGGAUAACUUCAGGAAACUGGGGCUAAUACCGGAUAGGAGCUCCUGCUGCAUGGUGGGGGUUGGAAAGUUUCGGCGGUUGGGGAUGGACUCGCGGCUUAUCAGCUUGUUGGUGGGGUAGUGGCUUACCAAGGCUUUGACGGGUAGCCGGCCUGAGAGGGUGACCGGCCACAUUGGGACUGAGGGAGGGAGCAGACUCGUACGGGAGGCAGCAGUGGGGAAUAUUGCACAAUGGGCGGAAGCCUGAUGCAGCAACGCCGCGUGCGGAAUGACGGCCUACGGGUGGUAAACCGCUUUCGCCUGUGACGAAGCGGGAGUGACGGUAAUGGGUAAAGAAGCACCGGCUAACUACGUG
rnacentral:rRNA from 1 species